rnacentral:rRNA from 1 species
UGUCGUCAGCUCGUGUUGUGAAAUGUUGGGUUAAGUCCCGCAACGAGCGCAACCCUUAUCCUUUGUUGCCAGCGGUCCGGCCGGGAACUCAAAGGAGACUGCCAGUGAUAAACUGGAGGAAGGUGGGGAUGACGUCAAGUCAUCAUGGCCCUUACGACCAGGGCUACACACGUGCUACAAUGGCGCAUACAAAGAGAAGCGACCUCGCGAGAGCAAGCGGACCUCAUAAAGUGCGUCGUAGUCCGGAUUGGAGUCUGCAACUCGACUCCAUGAAGUCGGAAUCGCUAGUAAUCGUGGAUCAGAAUGCCACGGUGAAUACGUUCCCGGGCCUUGUACACACCGCCCGUCACACCAUGGGAGUGGGUUGCAAAAGAAGUAGGUAGCUUAACCUUCGGGAGGGCG